UACGUAGGGUGCAAGCGUUAAUCGGAAUUACUGGGCGUAAAGCGUGCGCAGGCGGUCAUGCAAGACAGAUGUGAAAUCCCCGGGCUCAACCUGGGAACUGCAUUUGUGACUGUAUGGCUGGAGUGCGGCAGAGGGGGAUGGAAUUCCGCGUGUAGCAGUGAAAUGCGUAGAUAUGCGGAGGAACACCGAUGGCGAAGGCAAUCCCCUGGGCCUGCACUGACGCUCAUGCACGAAAGCGUGGGGAGCAAACAGG
rnacentral:rRNA from 1 species